rnacentral:rRNA from 4 species
GCGACCCCAGGAUUGGCGAGGCCACCCGCUGAGUUUAAG